GACGAACGCUGGCGGCGUGCUUAACACAUGCAAGUCGAACGGAAAGGCCCUGCUUUUGUGGGGUGCUCGAGUGGCGAACGGGUGAGUAACACGUGAGUAGCCUGCCCUUGACUUUGGGAUAACUCCAGGAAACUGGGGCUAAUACCGGAUAGGAGCUCCUGCUGCAUGGUGGGGGUUGGAAAGUUUCGGCGGUUGGGGAUGGACUCGCGGCUUAUCAGCUUGUUGGUGGGGUAGUGGCUUACCAAGGCUUUGACGGGUAGCCGGCCUGAGAGGGUGACCGGCCACAUUGGGACUGAGAUACGGCCCAGACUCCUACGGGAGGCAGCAGUGGGGAAUAUUGCACAAUGGGCGGAAGCCUGAUGCAGCAACGCCGCGUGCGGGAUGACGGCCUUCGGGUUGUAAACCGCUUUCGCCUGUGACGAAGCGUGAGUGACGGUAAUGGGUAAAGAAGCACCGGCUAACUACGU
rnacentral:rRNA from 1 species